AGAGUUUGAUCAUGGCUCAGGAUGAACGCUAGCGGCAGGCUUAACACAUGCAAGUCGAGCGGGACCUUCGGGUCUAGCGGCGGACGGGUGAGUAUCGCGUGGGAACGUACCCUUUUCUACGGAAUAGCCUCGGGAAACUGAGAGUAAUACCGUAUACGCCCUUUUGGGGAAAGAUUUAUCGGAGAAGGAUCGGCCCGCGUUGGAUUAGGUAGUUGGUGGGGUAAUGGCCUACCAAGCCGACGAUCCAUAGCUGGUUUGAGAGGAUGAUCAGCCACACUGGGACUGAGACACGGCCCAGACUCCUACGGGAGGCAGCAGUGGGGAAUCUUAGACAAUGGGGGCAACCCUGAUCUAGCCAUGCCGCGUGAGUGAUGAAGGCCUUAGGGUUGUAAAGCUCUUUCAGCUGGGAAGAUAAUGACGGUACCAGCAGAAGAAGCCCCGGCUAACUCCGUGCCAGCAGCCGCGGUAAUA
rnacentral:rRNA from 1 species